rnacentral:misc_RNA from 1 species
GUGAAUCAUCAAAUUUUUGAACGCAAAUUGCACUCUCUUCGGAGAGUAUGCCUGUUUGAGGGUCAGCCUAAAAAAAAUCGACGUAGUCGCUGUUUCGCGGUGACAUUCGUCGGAAAUUGGGUCAUCUUAAACCUUUGGGUUUUUUAAGCGGCUUAAAAUUUUCUUAAGGAUUCCACAAAGUUUUUUAAGAUUUUAUUUUUUAAACCCU